CCUACGGGAGGCAGCAGUGAGGAAUAUUGGUCAAUGGACGAGAGUCUGAACCAGCCAAGUAGCGUGAAGGAUGACUUCCCUCUGGGUUGAAAACUUUUUUUAUAAAGGAAUAAAACGAGGCACGUGUGCCUUUUUGCAUGUACUUUUUGAAUAAGGACCGGCUAACUCCGUGCAAGCAGCCGCGGUAAUACGGAGGAUCCGAGCGUUAUCCGGAUUUAUUGGGUUUAAAGGGAGCGUAGAUGGGUUGUUAGGUCAGUUGUGAAAGUUUGCGGCUCAACCGUAAAAUUGCAAUUGAUACUGGCAGUCUUGAGUACAGUUGAGGUAGGCGGAAUUCGUGGUGUAGCGGUGAAAUGCUUAGAUAUCACGAAGAACCCCGAUUGCGAAGGCAGCUUACUAAACUGUAACUGACAUUGAUGCUCGAAAGUGUGGGUAUCAAACAGGAUUAGAUACCCUGGUAGUC
rnacentral:rRNA from 1 species